rnacentral:misc_RNA from 1 species
UAAAAAAAAUAUUAUACAUCUCUUCUAGGAUUAAACACUAAAUGUUAUAUUUCAACAAGUUUAAAAUAAAAAACUUUCAACAACGGAUCUCUUGGUUCUCGCAUCGAUGAAGAACGCAGCGAAUUGCGAUACGUAAUAUGACUUGCAGACGUGAAUCAUUGAAUUUUUGAACGCACAUUGCGCCUUAAGGUAUUCCUCAAGGCAUGCGUGAAUGAGCGAUAUUUACUCUCAAACCCUAGGGUUUGGUCAUGGCCCUACAGCCUAAACAUCAACUGAUUUUAAAAUAAGUUUUAAUCUCAUCCCCCUUAUUUCCUCAUUUUCGUAA